GUCCUACGGGAGGCAGCAGUGGGGAAUAUUGGGCAAUGGGCGCAAGCCUGACCCAGCAACGCCGCGUGAAGGAAGAAGGCCCUCGGGUUGUAAACUUCUUUUAUUCGGGACGAAACAAAUGACGGUACCGAAUGAAUAAGCCACGGCUAACUACGUGCCAGCAGCCGCGGUAAUACGUAGGUGGCAAGCGUUAUCCGGAUUUACUGGGUGUAAAGGGCGUGUAGGCGGGAGAGAAAGACAGACGUGAGAUUACAGGGCUAAA
rnacentral:rRNA from 1 species